ACCUGGUUGAUCCUGCCAGUAGUCAUAUGCUUGUCUCAAAGAUUAAGCCAUGCAUGUCUAAGUACACGCCCUAGCAAGGCGAAACCGCGAAUGGCUCAUUAAAUCAGUUAUGGUUCCUUAGAUCGUACACAUUUACUUGGAUAACUGUGGUAAUUCUAGAGCUAAUACAUGCAAUUGAGCCCUCGUCCCAUUUAGGGUGAGGGUGCUUUUAUAAGACCAAGACCAAACGGGGGCAACUCCGAUAGUCGUGGUGACUCUGAAUAACUAUGGCGGAUCGCACAGUCCUAGCACUGGUGACGCAUCUUUCAAGUGUCUGCCUUAUCAACUUUCGAUGGUAGGUUAUGCGCCUACCAUGGUUGUUACGGGUAACGGGGAAUCAGGGUUCGAUUCCGGAGAGGGAGCCUGAGAAACAGCUACCACAUCCAAGGAAGGCAGCAGGCGCGCAAAUUACCCACUCCCGGCACGGGGAGGUAGUGACGAAAAAUAACAAUACGGGACUCUAACGAGGCUCCGCAAUUGGAAUGAGUACACUCUAAACCUUUUAAUGAGGAUCUAUUGGAGGGCAAGUCUAGUGCCAGCAGCCGCGGUAACUCUAGCUCCAAUAGCGUAUAUUAAAGUUGUUGCGGUUAAAAAGCUCGUAGUUGGAUCUCAGUCGCGCUCCCUUCGAUGCGUUGCAAAGCGUCAAUCGUUGGGGCCGACAGCACGUUGGUGGGCCCGGUUGGCUUUUACCGGUUGAUCGGGUUCUCUGGCAAUUUUACUUUUAAAAAAUUAGGGUGCUCAAAGCAGGCUGGAAGGAAGUCUCUCAGCCCCCACAGUGCCUUAUCAUUUGAUCUUAGCCAAAAGGCUAAGAGAGGUAAUAGAGAGGGUCAAAUAAAUCUGGUUUUAGUUUAACUUAAAUUUAUAUACACGUAAGACGAUAAAACACCAUUUAUGGCAGAAAAAUGAUGCAUGCCAGUUAAUUUGUUUACAUUUUAAAUCAAGGAGAGAGACGUCUAUUGUGCUUUCAAAAUAAAAUCCCCACAAUUAUGAUAUGGUACAAUUUAGAUUAGAUACACAAGGUAACAAGAUCACAUCCAAAUUAAUAAACUGUUGGUGACAUUUUCUUCCUGAAGAAAGUAACAAUGGUGUUAGUGAAACAUCACUAACAGUCAUCUAAUGUGGCCUUGUUACCCUAUUUUAAUAUUGUCUAAAAAAAGUGUGUGGGGGAGAAUGUCAAAGAGGGCUACAGAAAGAGCUGUUCCUCCAUAUGGAUGAUCUUUCUUGAAUUGAAGAGAGCGGUGGAGGUGAUGACUUUUCAACCCAGACAAAAGGAGGAUUGUAUUGGGACAGAGUUGGCAGCUUGCCAUCACCUUCUUGUUCUUUCUUUUGGAAAUGGAAGCACAGAAUCCAUCUUUUUUAUGAACUUCUUGAAACUCCCCUAUUUUGAAACAGUUUGCAACUACUGCAUAGGACCGCUACCUGAAAAACAUAGAUACUCCUGGAAGUGGUUUUUCAUUGGAUGUUGGUUUUGGUUGGCUUGGUCAUUUUUGGUUUUUAAAAAGGUGGUUGCACAUUGGCUGGAUUGCUCAUGGCAUGUAUGAAUGUAUUGUAUUUCUAAUACAGUAUAUGGUUACGUUUUUAAAUAGAUAUAAAUCCCAGACCAUUCUAUUAGAGUAUCAAAUCAAUCUUUCUUGGGUCUACCUUCAUUCUCCGAGGUGUAUCCCUCUAGUAUGGUUAAUAGACAAUCUCUCAAUGAUCUUCAGAGUACACGUUCUUCAAGUUCCCUUUUUUUUUUAUUACUUCACUUAGAAUUCUAUACUCUACAUUAAAUCUUCUCCAGACUUCUUUGUCAUCCUGUCUGUCCAUUUGUCUUGAGGAUUGUACAAUCAAUAUCACACCUAAUAUCAAAAUGUUUAGUUUCCGAUCUAGUUCCCUGAUUAUUGUCCAAGCAUCACAUCCUAACAUAAACAUUGACCAAAGAAAAAAAAUUGAAGCAUCCUCUUCUUUGGUUCUGUAUUUAUGGUCUUCUUAAAAGCCUUUAUUUCUCUCUCUCCUAAAAAAAGAAUAUUGUAUACCUUCUGACAGGGACUUUUGCAUCUUCCAUCCUCAUUUGAUGGUAUGGUAGUCUUAUAUAUGUAUUUUAAUGGCAGCUCUCUCCUAAUAUGGGAAUUGAGACAUUGCAGAGAUGUUCUGG